UUAUUGGAGAGUUUGAUCCUGGCUCAGGACGAACGCUGGCGGCGUGCCUAAUACAUGCAAGUCGAGCGGACUUCUUAAAAGCUUGCUUUUAAGAAGUCAGCGGCGGACGGGUGAGUAACACGUGGGCAACCUGCCUGUGAGACUGGGAUAACUUCGGGAAACCGGAGCUAAUACCGGAUAAUAUAAGGAACCUCCUGGUUCUUUAUUGAAAGA
rfam:Bacillus sp. LL01 scaffold5.1, whole genome shotgun sequence.